rnacentral:tRNA from 1 species
GCGAGAUUAGUAUAAUGUUAGUACGCGUGCUUCCCAAGCAUGUGGCACGGGUUAGAUUCCCGUAUCUCGCACCA